rnacentral:lncRNA from 1 species
CAGAAGGCCAUCAGGGAAAGAGAAGACUUCCAUUCUUUCCAAACUCACACCUUGUUUCAAUUCGCUCUCCCUUUCUACACAAAAAUUCCCAUUUAAAUAUAGGCAAAUCUCAGGUGCGUGGAAAUCAAUCUGAUUAAAUAACUGUGGCUAAGAUAUACAUGGCUGUUAGAAUUGGGAGUUUUUCUCUUUUAAAGAAGGCUAUCUUUGGAGGCCGUCCUGGGGGAAGAGGCAUUUUGGAGUAAGGGGGGGCCUUUAUUUCAGUUCUCCAUGCUCACAUUCUAGCUGGCCCACUGGAGAAAGGCUGCCGGUUGCUGGGCUCCGAGUUGUUGACAUUCUCUGGGAGCAGAGCCCUGUGGACAGGAUCACCUACAACUGGCCUGGGCCAUUGUCCAGCUCCAGCAUGGUUGCACUCAUACCAGCUGGGCAGAGAGCAACAGGGCGCCCAGCAGCUGCUGUGAGACAGGCAGAGCUGAGGAGGCAGAAAGCCUGUGCUGGGAGUGAUGGGGCAGAACUGAACAGCUGGGAUCCAGCAAGACUGGCAGAUAGGCAGGCCUCCCUCCUCCUCGGAGGCUCCAGGGCCUCAGCCUUAGCCCAACAUCAGCCACAGUUAGCAGAGCAGAACUGGGCAAGAAAAUGAGAAACGAACAUUUAAAAAGGCAUUGUGCAUGCUGAAGACUUUUUGAAAAACUAUGUUUGGGGUCAUUCUUACCCUAGGCUCUUCUACCUUGGCCCCAGCAAGAACAUUCCCAUCAAAUGAGCCCGGCUUGGUCGUGAGUCAGGCUCAGCAUCUCCCCUCCUCAUCAAUUAUAGUCACUUUGUUUUCUCAGUAAUUUAGUUGUAGAUGGACAUGAAACCUCUUUUUAUUAUUAUUAUUUUGCUUAUUUAUAUGGUGCUGAGGAUUGAACCCAGUGUCCCACACAUGCGAGGCAAGCACUCUACCACUAAGCCACAACCUCAGCCCUCUA